AUUGUUUUGGCAGAGUAGUGUGAAUAAUUUAGAAUUAUUUUAAGUAAUUUAUUACAAGCAAUA
rnacentral:tRNA from 1 species